GAUGAACGCUGGCGGCGUGCAUAACACAUGCAAGUCGAACGAAGUGGCGGACGGGUGAGUAAUGCGUGAGUAACCUGCCUUAGAGAAGGGGAUAGCCUUUGGAAACGAAGAAUAAUACACGAUGCUCUAAGAUGGACUUGCGUGUGAUUAGUUAGGUGGUGGGGUAACGGCCUACCAAGACAGCGAUCAGUAGCCGGCUUGAGAGAGUGUCCGGCCCCAGUGGGACUGAGACACGGCCCAGACUCUACGGGAGGCAGCAGUGGUGAAAUUUGCACAAUGGGGGAAACCCUGAUGCAGCGACGCCGCGUGAUUUAGAAGGCCUUCGGGUUGUAAAAAUCUUUUCUAUGGGAAGCAUUACCAUAGGAAUAAGGACCGGCUAAUUACGUGCCAGCAGCCGCGGUAAUAC
rnacentral:rRNA from 1 species